rnacentral:rRNA from 1 species
UCCAGUUUAUCCUGCUGGCGGCUGCGGCUAUCUGGUUUGCACUUAGACAUGCAAGUCUCUCGAAAGAGGGCGAACUGCUCAGUAACACGUAGCUAACCUGCCCUAUGGUCGUGAAUACCGUCGGGAAACUGACGAUAAGGCGCGAUAUAAGAAGUUCUCUGGAAAGAUGCUUCUUUGAAGGUUACCAUAGGAUGGGGCUGCGGUGGAUUAGGUAGUUGGCGGGGUAAUAGCCCACCAAGCCCUUGAUCCAUAAGGGUCUUUAGCGAGAGAGCCCUGAGAAGGACUCUGAGACACUAGUCCUAGCCCUACGGGGUGCAGCAGUUAGGUAUUUUUUGCAAUGCGCGAAAGCGUGACAAAGCGAGCCAGAGUGAUUUUCAUUUUUUGAGAAUCUUUUGUCAGCUGUAAAAAGGCUGAUGAAUAAGGACUGGGCAAGACCGGUGCCAGCCGCCGCGGUAAUCCCGGCAGUCCAAGUCGCAGCCACAAUUAUUGGGUCUAAAACAUCCGUAGCUUGCUUUACAAGUCUCUUGUGAAAUCUGGCAUCUUAAGUGUCAGGCGUGCAAGAGAUACUGUAUUGCUAGAGACUGGGGGGCGUAAAGAGUACAGUCAAGGUAGUGGUAAAAUACGUUGAUCUUGAUUGGACUAACAAUUUAGCGAAGGCACUUUACGAUAACAGUUCUGACAGUGAGGGAUGAAGGCUAGGGGCGCAAAAUGGAUUAGAUACCCAUGUAGUCCUAGCAGUAAACACUGCACACUAAACCUCGUGACCUCCUCGAGAGGUUGCGGGGCUUUAGCGAAGGCGAAGAGUGUGCUACCUGGGAAGUAUAGUCGCAAGACCGAAACUUAAAGGAAUUGGCGGGGGAGCACUACAACGGGUGACGCGUGCGGUUCAAUUAGAGUCUACACCGUGAACCUCACCAGGAUCGACAGCAGAAUGAAGGUCAGUCUGAAGGGCUUACCUGACACGCUGAGAGGAGUUGCAUGGCCGACGUCAGCCUGUGUCGUGAGAUGACCUGUUAAAUCAGGUAACAGGCGAGACCUGCGUGUAUAGUUGCUAGCUGAUGAAGAAGCACUCUAUACAGACUGCUCCAGUAAUGGAGAGGAAGGUGCAGGCUACGUUAGGUGAGUACGGCCCGAAUACCCUGGGCAACACGCGCGCGGCAAUGCUAGAUGCAGUUGGAUGCAACUCUGAAAAGAGAAGCUAAUCCUAUAAUAUCUAGCCUAGUUCAGAUUGAGGAUUGUAACUCAUCCUCAUGACGCUGGAAUCCGUAGUAAUCGUUCUUUAUCAAAGAGCGGUGAAUAAGUCCCUGCUCCUUGCACACACCGCCCGUCAAACCAACCGAGUUUUGCAUUGGCGAGGCUCUUCGGAGACGAACCUUUGUAAGACAAGGUAGGUUAAGUCGUCACAAGGUC